GUCCCUGUGCAAGGCAUGCACAGGGUUAGGACUCUGAUGAAAUCGAAUUUUCUUUCUCCCCAGGAAAACGAUGUCUGUAUGGGUCUCCCCGGUUUUGCCCACAACUGCAGGGUCCUAUGGAUGCCCAGUGGAGCCCACGGUGAGAACCUGAGGGUGAGGCUGAAGAGACCAUGCUCCCCUGUGCUCUGUCCUUCUCCUGGUGCUGGCUUCAUCCUGAGGCUUGAGCUGUGGUGGCUUCAGGAUUCAUAGGUUCUCACAACAACCCCGGUAAGAGAGACUCUUGAGAAGGAGGAGCAGUUUCCCCGAAGCAUCCACCAAACCUACCCUUGUAUCUCAUGGGCCCGAAUUGGGACAUAUAUCUGUUGUGCUCUCUGAAGACACUCCCAGUAAAUGGGACUUCUAAAUUUUGAUAUAUAAAACAAAAGAAGAAAAUAUGACCUCUACUUCUAAUACUGUUGGAGGCUAUAACCUAGUUAUACAGUGGAAAUUGAGGUCCAUAGAGAUUAAGUUAUAUGCCUAAAUUAUAUUGCAGAGUGGAAUUUAAACUCAGGUUGUUGACUGCAAAGUCUCUAAUUUUUCUUUUUCCCAGUUUACCUCUUUUUAAAAUAUGAGCAUAUCUGUAAUGUUUUUGUAAGAAUGACCAUGUUCAAACCCAUGUUGUUUAAAGGUAAAGAAAAAAAGGAUGACCAUGUCUAUCAAAAAAUUCAAUGUAGAAAAGUUCAGAGAAGUAAGUAAAAGUAAACUGAGAUCUCCUAUCCGAUGAUAAACCACAAAUACAUUGGUAAACAUCCUUCCAAAUGUAACACUGCAUAAAAUCACAUGUAAGUGUACAACUUAAUAAAAAUGGAGUCAUAUUCUA
rnacentral:lncRNA from 1 species